ensembl:lncRNA
CUUUGCACUCGCUUAGCAACGAGAGCUGACAAGAGGAAUAUCCUGCCAGGAUAGGUGGAGCCAGAAUUGCUCAUUUUUGUUUUAAUAUUUUAUGUCAUAAUGGAGGAGACAGUGAUGUACCUCCGGCUUAGCCAAGACCGAGGCCAGGCCAUACACGGACACCAUGGCAGCCUUGACUGAGAAGUUUAGCCAGCCGCACCAUGUAGCCUUGAAGCGGAUUGCUGCAGUGAUGGAUUCACCCGUGAUUAAGAGAGGAGAUACAGCAGCCUUUGAGAGAGUCUCCUCGACGUGCAGUCACUUGGAAUACCGCAGACCAACAUGAGUGGG